rnacentral:rRNA from 1 species
GACGAACGCUGGCGGCGUGCUUAACACAUGCAAGUCGAACGGAAAGGCCCUGCUUUUGUGGGGUGCUCGAGUGGCGAACGGGUGAGUAACACGUGAGUAACCUGCCCUUGACUUUGGAUAACCUCCGGAAACCUGGGGUAAUACCCGAUAGGAGCCUCCUCCUCCUUGUGGGGGGUGGAAAGUUUCGGCGGUUGGGGAUGGACUCGCGGCUUAUCAGCUUGUUGGUGGGGUAGUGGCUUACCAAGGCUUUGACGGGUAGCCGGCCUGAGAGGGUGACCGGCCACAUUGGGACUGAGAUACGGCCCAGACUCCUACGGGAGGCAGCAGUGGGGAAUAUUGCACAAUGGGCGGAAGCCUGAUGCAGCAACGCCGCGUGCGGGAUGACGGCCUUCGGGCUGUAAACCGCUUUCGCCUGUGACGAAGCGUGAGUGACGGUAAUGGGUAAAGAAGCACCGGCUAACUACGUG